rnacentral:tRNA from 1 species
GCAUUAGUGGUUCAGUGGCAGAAUUCUUGCCUUUCAUGUGGGAGACCACGGUUCAAUUCCCGUCCAAUGCA